UGCAUGCAUGUGUACUCCAAACAACCUCCAUGGAAGAUACUUAGAAAGACAUGUCAAGUUUCACACAGGUCAUUUUUCACACCAUCACAUAUUACUUUGUGCUUAGUCGAUGAUACAAGAAUAACAUACAAUACACAGCAAUUGUUGCACAUCAGAUUAAAUAUAUUUUGAAGUACCUGCUACAAGAUGGAACUUUCUUGCAUAUUCAUCCACAUACAAGCAAUUUCACAAAAUAUCCAACCCUGAUAGUCAGAAUUUGCAGCACACAAACUACACUGCAGUGUACUGCUUUCAGUCUUGUUAACUGUCUAGUCUCGCUACCUUUUUGUAGCAUGUAGCAGGAUGAUGUUCACAACAUAAAAAUGAUAAAGACAUCGAGGAUGACAUAGAAGCUAACAUCAAAAAUCUCACUUCUGAGUUUCUUUGGAUAACAGCAGAGGCUACAUACACACUGAUCAUGUACAGUAUGCAGUGGGCUUCUGUGUACAACAAUCAUGUAUGUAAAGUGCCAAAAGGCUCUAUACCUGACAAAUUUUACUCCAGUGAGUAAGUGAAGUCAUAUGAAUGUACUGAUGUCUUUUAGACAGACUAUUUUCUACUUGUAUUUGGCCAGUUUUGCAAUAUUAUACAACAUACUGAAGAAUAUAAGUGACUUAGGCAAAAAGAAAAAAACUAUAGCACUGUAUUUUAUUCAGUUUCAAAUAAUAUUGCAGUUAUUUUGAGAGCUAGUUGAUUGCUGUAUUUUCCUGAGUAUAAGUCUGUGUUUUUUCAUUUUAAACUAGUUUGGGAGGUCCUGCGUUAUACUCCAGGGUGACUUACAUACUGACUAACAGUUUUUGUAAUAACUAUUCACGUGGGGUUUUCCCAGGAAUCAAAGCACUAAAUAAAAUAAACUCAAAGAAUAAA